UCAUCACAUUUUGUCUCAACAUUCAGGUAUGAUUUGCAGAUGACUGAUAACAACCAUCAUGUUGUGGAAAAGAACACAUCUCUCAGAAAGUUACACAUGCGCAUCAAGUUUUUGUUUGCCCACUAAGCCCAGUAACCAGGUGGAAGACAGAUGGAAGUCCUUAACAUCCCUUCUUACAGAUGCUUAAAGGAAAAAGAGAAAAAGAUAAAAGAAUUCCUGCAUAUGGAUAAAAAGCAGAAUCUGAGCCAGAUGGAAAUGCAUAAACCCUGGAAUCACUGUAGUAUUUGGAUGGUUGCUUCAUAAGACACAUGAGACAUGGCUACAUCCAGGGAAGAUGAAGACAAGCAUUUCUCCUUGUGUCAUUUUGGAGAAAAUUUUUUUCCAGAAAAUCACCAGUUGGCUUUUCCUCUGAUCCCAUUGUCCAGAAUGGGGUUUUCGUAUAGUAGGCUGAGAAAGAAAGAAUCUAGAAUUUUGGGCUCUGUGGAGGUAGAUAGGAUUCAGCCUAAAUAAGGUAGUAGAGUGAUUGGGCCACAGAAAGUGUAUGACAUAUAGGAAGUGCAGGUAUUUCAAACAGAUACCAUUAUUCAUCCUAACGGCUACCAAAAUCCAAAUAUUAUCAUUUAUAAUGGUAUUUACAAGAUAUUUUUAAACUUUCAGGAACUCAAUUGUAGAAUUUCAUAUUUUAGCUUUUAAAUUCACUUUUACUAUAAUAUUUGUAUAUUUCUAUGUAAACCCAGUAAUUUAUGUCUGUGGGAAAUAAGCCAAUUCCAAACAAAUGAAUAACAGGCAAUUGGUAGAUGAGGCUAAUAGGUUAAUACACACAAAUACACACACACACCCACACACACUUUAACAUUAAACAUUUUAUGACAUAUUCUGUAGACAUCAAAUAAACGUUAUUUGAAAAAUACCAUAGAAUAUCAACCUUUCUUCUUAAGAGACAAUGAAAUAGAUCUCACCACUAUGUGGGUGGUUGGUUAAGAUUAAGGCCACAAGGUAUUUUUGUUUUUGAAACGGUUUGUUUCAGCUAUCCUAAAACUUACAUGCAAGGGCAAAUAAACUGGAAUAAUUUCAACAAUUUAAAAAGAAGCAAGGUCAAAAGAAUCACCAUACCUGAUUUUACGAUUUACUAUAAAUCUACUCUAAUAAAGAAAAUGGUAUUGGUGAAGAAAGAAAUAGGUUCCUGAAAUGGAAUAAGCAGCAUAUGCAUAGACUUGAACAAAUUUAGCCAUUUGAUAUUUGACAAAGGUUAAACAAAUAAAAAGGAUAGUCUUUGCAGCAAAUGGUAUUGAAACAAUUGGUUCUCUAUAGGCAAAAACAAUGAACUAUGACCUAAACUUCAAACUCAUGAAAAAGUCAACUCAAAAUAGAUCACAGAUUUUUUUUUAUUAUCCUUUAAGUUCUAGGGUACACGUGCACAAUGUGCAGCUUUGUUACAUAUGUAUACAUGUGCCAUGUUGUUGUGCUGCACCCAUUAACUCAUCUUUACAUUACAUAUAUCUCCUAACACUAUCCCUCCCCCCUCCCCCCACUCCACAACAGGCCCUGGUGUGUGAUGUUCCCCUUCCU
rnacentral:lncRNA from 1 species